AUUGAACGCUGGCGGCAGGCCUAACACAUGCAAGUCGAACGAGUGGCGGACGGGUGAGUAAUGUCUGGGAAACUGCCCGAUGGAGGGGGCUAACUACUGGAAACGGUAGCUAAUACCGCAUACCAUCGGAUGUGCCCAGAUGGGAUUAGCUAGUUGGUGGGGUAACGGCUCACCAAGGCGACGAUCCCUAGCUGGUCUGAGCGGAUGACCAGCCACACUGGAACUGAGACACGGUCCAGACUCCUACGGGAGGCAGCAGUGGGGAAUAUUGCACAAGGGGCGCAAGCCUGAUACAGCCAUGCCGCGUGUAUGAAGAAGGCCUUCGGGUUGUAAAGUACUUUCAGCGAGGAGGCGUUACCCGCAGAAGAAGCACCGGCUAACUACGUGCCAGCAGCCGCGGUAAUUC
rnacentral:rRNA from 1 species